rnacentral:rRNA from 1 species
CUAACCAUGCGAGUCGACGGCAGCACAGUGGUAGCAAUACCAUGGGUGGCGAGUGGCGGACGGGUGAGUAAUGCAUCGGGACCUACCUGAACGUGGGGGAUAACGUAGGGAAACUUACGCUAAUACCGCAUACGUCCUACGGGAGAAAGCGGGGGACCUUCGGGCCUCGCGCGGUCAGACGGACCGAUGUUCGAUUAGCUAGUUGGUAGGGUAAUGGCCUACCAAGGCGACGAUCGAUAGCUGGUCUGAGAGGAUGAUCAGCCACACUGGAACUGAGACACGGUCCAGACUCCUACGGGAGGCAGCAGUGGGGAAUAUUGGACAAUGGGCGCAAGCCUGAUCCAGCAAUGCCGCGUGUGUGAAGAAGGCCUUCGGGUUGUAAAGCACUUUUAUCGGGAGCGAAAUACCAUCGGUUAAUAACCGGUGGGGCUGACGGUACCCGAGGAAUAAGCACCGGCUAACUUCGUGCCAGCAGCCGCGGUAAUACGAAGGGUGCAAGCGUUAAUCGGAAUUACUGGGCGUAAAGGGUGCGUAGGCGGUUGGUUAAGUCUGUCGUGAAAUCCCCGGGCUCAACCUGGGAAUGGCGAUGGAUACUGGCCAGCUAGAGUGUGUCAGAGGAUGGUGGAAUUUCCGGUGUAGCGGUGAAAUGCGUAGAGAUCGGAAGGAACAUCAGUGGCGAAGGCGGCCAUCUGGGACAACACUGACGCUGAAGCACGAAAGCGGGGGGAGCAAACAGGAUUAGAUACCCUGGUAGUCCACGCCCUAAACGAUGCGGACUGGAUGUUGGUCUCACUCGGAGAUCAGUGUCGAAGCUAACGCGUUAAGUUCGCCGCCUGGGGGAGUACGGUCGCAGACUGAACUC